AAUGAACGCUGGCGGCAGGCCUAACACAUGCAAGUCGAACGGAUCCUUCGGGAUUAGUGGCGGACGGGUGAGUAACGCGUGGGAACAUACCCUUUGGUACGGAAUAGCCUCGGGAAACUGGGAGUAAUACCGUAUGUGGUCGAGAGACGAAAGAUUUAUCGCCAAAGGAUUGGCCCGCGUUGGAUUAGGUAGUUGGUGGGGUAAUGGCCUACCAAGCCGACGAUCCAUAGCUGGUUUGAGAGGAUGAUCAGCCACACUGGGACUGAGACACGGCCCAGACUCCUACGGGAGGCAGCAGUGGGGAAUCUUAGACAAUGGGGGAAGCCCUGAUCUAGCCAUGCCGCGUGAUCGAUGAAGGCCUUAGGGUUGUAAAGAUCUUUCAGGUGGGAAGAUAAUGACGGUACCUGGAGAAUAAGCCCCGGCUAACUUCGUGCCAGCCGCCGCCGUAA
rnacentral:rRNA from 1 species